UACGAAGGGGGGCUAGCGUUGCUCGGAAUCACUGGGCGUAAAGGGUGCGUAGGCGGGUUUUUAAGUCAGAGGUGAAAUCCUGGAGCUCAACUCCAGAACUGCCUUUGAUACUGAAAGUCUUGAGUAUGGGAGAGGUGAGUGGAACUGCGAGUGUAGAGGUGAAAUUCGUAGAUAUUCGCAAGAACACCAGUGGCGAAGGCGGCUCACUGGCCCGAUACUGACGCUGAUGCACGAAAGCGUGGGGGAGCAAACAGG
rnacentral:rRNA from 1 species